GGCCCCAAGCCAACAUCUUCCUUCCCCGGGACCUCGGCCCACAAGAAGAGGCGCGUCCUGAGUUCCUCAGUCUCCCGAUCGCUGGGAGUGGCUCCGGGCCGCAGCCGCAUCGCCCGUCUCCCCAGCAGCACCUUGAAGAGGCCAGCGGGACCCCUGGCUGUCCCAGAGCCCCCCUCCAGUCCCCACUGCCUUGGCCACCAGAGGAGCCAGAAGGAACUGAUGGGGGUUGGGGGAGCGAUGUCAGCUGGCAGCUGCUCCGCCAAGGUGUCCUGACCACCAUGCCCCUCUUGGUCCCGGGAGCUGCCUGCACCAGGAGCCCUGGCCUGCCUUCCUCGGCUCAGAGCAAUUAAUGCCAACGCCCUCUUCCUUUAUUAACCUUCUUCCCCCAGCCAUGCAUUCUGCUCCUCAGCCUCUUUAUUAGUCUCUGUUACACUCGGCUUCUCGGCGUGUAUAUAUUCAUUUGUGAGUGUUAACGUGUUGCUAUUUUAGAGGGUGCUACCACGGUCCCCCUCUAGCUUAUAAUGUCCUCUGUGCAGGAAGGGGGCUUGUGGGGGCUUUCUUGCCCAAAAUGAUGAUGGUGCCUUGACUUCUAAGUGAAGAUAGUUUAUUGUUUUCACCUAUUGUACACAGAAUACACACUCAGCAUAAAGAGAAGUGUAAAGAAGAAAGGGCAAUUUAGCCUUAAUGCUACCACCCAGACGUAAGAGCUGUUAAUACUUAGGUUUAUAUCUUCUGAUCCUUUAUUUCUGUAUAUAUACAUAUAUAUGUGUGGGUAGAUAUAGGUAUAUUUUUUUAUUAUAAUUAAUAAACCAUCUCCAUCCU
rnacentral:lncRNA from 1 species